AACGAACGCUGGCGGCAUGCCUAACACAUGCAAGUCGAACGAGACCUUCGGGUCUAGUGGCGCACGGGUGCGUAACGCGUGGGAACCUGCCCUUAGGUUCGGAAUAACUCCCCGAAAGGGGUGCUAAUACCGGAUAAUGUCUUCGGACCAAAGAUUUAUCGCCCUUGGAUGGGCCCGCGUUGGAUUAGCUGGUUGGUAGGGUAAAAGCCUACCAAGGCGACGAUCCAUAGCUGGUCUGAGAGGAUGAUCAGCCACACUGGGACUGAGACACGGCCCAGACUCCUACGGGAGGCAGCAGUGGGGAAUAUUGGACAAUGGGCGAAAGCCUGAUCCAGCAAUGCCGCGUGAGUGAUGAAGGCCUUAGGGUUGUAAAGCUCUUUUACCCGGGAUGAUAAUGACAGUACCGGGAGAAUAAGCUCCGGCUAACUCCGUG
rnacentral:rRNA from 1 species